UACGGAGGGUGCAAGCGUUGCUCGGAAUUACUGGGCGUAAAGGGUGCGCAGGCGGUGUGGUAAGACAGUUGUGAAAUCCCCGGGCUCAACCUGGGAACUGCAUCUGUGACUGCAUCGCUGGAGUGCGGCAGAGGGGGAUGGAAUUCCGCGUGUAGCAGUGAAAUGCGUAGAUAUGCGGAGGAACACCGAUGGCGAAGGCAAUCCCCUGGGCCUGCACUGACGCUCAUGCACGAAAGCGUGGGGAGCAAACAGG
rnacentral:rRNA from 1 species